rnacentral:misc_RNA from 1 species
UGCAGGAGGGGGCUUGCUCCCGAUUGCGGUGGUUCAGUUGGCGUGUUUUUAACUGGCGCCCCGCUAUCGGGAGCAAGCCCCCUCCCACA